rnacentral:rRNA from 1 species
ACGCUCGACACCUACGGCAGGCAGCAGUAGGGAAUCUUCCACAAUGGGCGCAAGCCUGAUGGAGCAACACCGCGUGAGUGAAGAAGGGUUUCGGCUCGUAAAGCUCUGUUGUUGGAGAAGAACGUGCGUGAGAGUAACUGUUCACGCAGUGACGGUAUCCAACCAGAAAGUCACGGCUAACUACGUGCCAGCAGCCGCGGUAAUCUGAGCGGGCUGGCAAGGC